rnacentral:rRNA from 1 species
GUAGGUGGCAAGCGUUGUCCGGAAUUAUUGGGCGUAAAGCGCGCGCAGGUGGUUCUUUAAGUCUGAUGUGAAAGCCCCCGGGCUCAACCGGGGAGGGUCAUUGGAAACUGGGGAACUUGAGUGCAGGAGAGGAAAGUGGAAUUCCACGUGUAGCGGUGAAAUGCGUAGAUAUGUGGAGGAACACCAGUGGCGAAGGCGACUUUCUGGCCUGUAACUGACACUGAGGCGCGAAAGCGUGGGGAGCAAACAGGAUUAGAUACCCUGGUAGUCCACGCCGUAAACGAUGAGUGCUAAGUGUUGGGGGGUUUCCGCCCCUCAGUGCUGCAGCUAACGCACUAAGCACUCCGCCUGGGGAGUACGGUCGCAAAGACUG